CGUACACUCCUGCGGGAGGCAGCAGUGGGGAAUAUUGGACAAUGGGCGCAAGCCUGAUCCAGCCAUGCCGCGUGAGUGAUGAAGGCCCUAGGGUUGUAAAGCUCUUUCACCGGUGAAGAUAAUGACGGUAACCGGAGAAGAAGCCCCGGCUAACUUCGUGCCAGCAGCCGCGGUAAUACGAAGGGGGCUAGCGUUGUUCGGAUUUACUGGGCGUAAAGCGCACGUAGGCGGACUAUUAAGUCAGGGGUGAAAUCCCGGGGCUCAACCCCGGAACUGCCUUUGAUACUGGUAGUCUUGAGUUCGAGAGAGGUGAGUGGAAUUCCGAGUGUAGAGGUGAAAUUCGUAGAUAUUCGGAGGAACACCAGUGGCGAAGGCGGCUCACUGGCUCGAUACUGACGCUGAGGUGCGAAGCGUGGGGAGCAAACAGGAUUAGAUACCCCUGUAGUCCCAUG
rnacentral:rRNA from 1 species